AUCUGUGUUUAUGCUGAAUAAAAUGAGAGCUAGCUAGCUAGGUCGAUCCAUCGCCAUGCAUACAUGGUUGAUCGCCCGGCCGGUCACUACGCUAUCUGUUUCCUUAAUUUAUUCGUCGAUCGACUAUACGUACCUGAGAGCUAGAGAUCAGUUUUUGUACCAUAUGCAUAUGUACUUCUGCAUGUACAUGGAGUACUACUUGUACUACGUGCGUGUACGUUGUGGAUUAUACAUAGAUAUAUAGCUCUUUUUCGUAUACAAAUACAUGUUCUACACCGAUUACUCC
rnacentral:sRNA from 1 species